rnacentral:lncRNA from 1 species
GGGCUUGGGGACACCAUGGACACCUUGGAGAAGGUUUUGGGGACACCUGGGACACCUUGGAGAGGGUUUGGAGCAACCUGGACUCAUGGAAAACAUCCACGGGAUGGGACUGGAUGGUCCUGGAGGACUUUCCCAGACCAGUGACAAAACUUCUUCCCUGAUCUCCCCAACGUUUCUUUUCCCCUUCCAGGACCCGUUUUUGGGAGCAAGGACAACUUCCUGGGGCUGGGAGUGUUUGUGGACACGUAUCCCAACGAGGAGAAGCAGCAGGAGGCUCAGAAGAGGAGGUACAGCCCUGGAAACCAGGUACUGCCUCCUGCUGUCCCACCUGGAGCUCCCCGUUCCCACCUCCAGGAACCCGGGAGAGGCUGCAUGGACGUGGAGUGGGGGCUCGGUGCCGGAUCGGUGGGACACGAUCCUGAGGGAUGGACCUUGGCGUCAUCCCGGUGGUG